UUUGAUCUGGUGCAACUUGUGAAACGAUGUCUAGAUUUUGUUCAACAACAAGGCUUGAAGAAUGUGGUGCUAUUAAUGCAGCUUUUGUGGAGGCCAUCAGGCCCCAUGUUCUAGCACUCCGGAGCAGCCCUUAUGGGAAGAAAGUCCUUUCAAGCAACAGCCUGAAGAAGUAAUUUAUGCUGUUUCAGGAAGUUCUGCAAGCUUCAAGGGAAUCCUGUAUGUACUAAUGCAAAUGAAGUCAACAUAAUCAAGUUCUGUGGGUCUCAGAAUGGAAAUGGAGUGACACCUGGAGGCUCAACAAACGCCACACCCAUUUGUCCCACUCUAGCAUGCCAUGCAGAUUUCAAUUUUGAAUGUUUCAGAAUCUUGUCUUUUUUUUUUUUUAAUGAAUUAAAAGUCUCUCGUGGUGCUUGUGAAGAAGAACCUACAGGAAAUCUGUCGAAUUUUCAGAAACCUUUCGGGCAUGAUCCAAGCCUUGCAUGCUGAACUUCUAGAAGAAAGGCAUUGUGCGACAUUUGAAUGACAUGGGUGAUUCAGAAACUCUCAUCCAUGAGCCAUAGGUGUGCUUUUUCCUAACUUUUCAAACUGACAAUUUGCUUCCCAAAUUUUUCCAUAUCUGGGUUUUGUUGGUUUGAAUUGCAAUUUGGUUUGGACCCAUGUGUGCAGGAGUCCUCUUUGCUAGUAGAAAAUGAUGAAAAGAACUCGGUUGGUAAUUUCAAGAGCCCCAUGGAUGCUAACAAAAAGCGUAAAAGACGAAGUAUUGCCAGAUUGGCAAAGGUAA